GCAGCAGCCGCGGUAAAACAGAGGGUGCGAGCGUUAAUCGGAUUUACUGGGCGUAAAGCGUGCGUAGGCGGCUUCUUAAGUCGGAUGUGAAAUCCCUGAGCUUAACUUAGGAAUUGCAUUCGAUACUGGGAAGCUAGAGUAUGGGAGAGGAUGGUAGAAUUCCAGGUGUAGCGGUGAAAUGCGUAGAGAUCUGGAGGAAUACCGAUGGCGAAGGCAGCCAUCUGGCCUAAUACUGACGCUGAGGUACGAAAGCAUGGGGAGCAAACAGGAUUAGAGACCCCAGUAGUCCCUGUCUCUUAUAC
rnacentral:rRNA from 1 species